rnacentral:rRNA from 1 species
GAUGAACGCUGACAGAAUGCUUAACACAUGCAAGUCAACUGUGGUGGACGGGUGAGUAACGCGUAAAGAAAUUGCAUAACAGCUAGGGACAACAUUUGGAAACGAAUGCUAAUACCUGAUACUUGUAGAGAGCUUUGCUUCCCAUUAGCUAGUUGGAGAGGUAACGGCUCACCAAGGCGAUGAUGGGUAGCCGGCCUGAGAGGGUGAUCGGCCACAAGUGGACUGAGACACGGCCCUUACUCCUACGGGAGGCAGCAGUGGGGAAUGUCGGACAAUGGACCAAAGUCUGAUCCAGCAAUUCUGUGUGCACGAUGAAGUUUUCGUAAUGUAAAGUGCUUUCAGUUGGGAAUCGUUACCAACAGAAGAAGUGACGGCUAAAUACGUGCCAGCAGCCGCGGUAAUAC